AUAUCAAUAAGCGGAGGAGAAGAAAUUAACUAAGAUUGCCCUAGUAGCGGCGAGCGAAGCGGCAAGAGCCCAAACUGGAAAUCUUGUACACUACGUGUGCACGAAUUGUAAUCUAAAGGAUGUUCACUCAACGGGAGGUGGCGCAGAAGUGUCCUCGAACGGACCGCCAGAGAGGGUGCCCAGCCCCGUAUGUGGUGCCACUGCCUAACGAGCGGGUCCCGAAGAGUCGGGUUGUUUUGUAUUGCAGCCCUAAGUGGGAGAUAAACUUCUUCUAAGGCUAAAUACCUAUGGGAGACCGAUAGCGCACAAGUA
rnacentral:rRNA from 1 species